UAUUUUUUUUUUUUAAGUUAUUUAUGUAUUUCUGAGAGAGAGAGCCAGAGAGCGAGCGAGCACACAUGUGUGAGCGGGGAAGGGACAGAGAAGGUGGGGAGACAGAGGAUCUGAAGCAGGCUCUGUGUGGAAAGUAGAGAGCCCGAUGUAGGGCUCGAACUCAUGAACCGUGAGAUCAUAACCUGAGCCAAAGGCAGAUGCUUAUCAGACCCAGAUGCUCCCAUUUUAUAUAUUUUUAAAUGGCCUUAAAAUUUUUUUCUCAACCUCUUUAAGCAGAUACACCCACAGGAAAAGGUCCAGAAAUGUAUUCAAUAACCUCUUAACAACAGGCAGGCCCUAAAAUGUCAGGAGUAAGAUAAAAGUAGACUUUUUACUUUUAUUUUUUAAAAAUUUUAAUUUCAGUGUGGUUAACAUACAGUGUUAUAUUCAUUUCAGGUAUACAAUUUAGAGAUUCAACAAUUCCAUAUAUUAAGUCAGGGCUCAACAAGAUAACUACUUUUAUUUAUUAAAAAAAAUUUUUUUAAUGUUUAGUUUUGAGAGACAGAGACAGAGACAGAGCACAAGCAGGGAAGAGCAGAGAGAGAGAGAGGGAGACACAGAAUCUGAAGCAGGCUCCAGGCUCUGAGCUGACAGCACAGAGCCUGACGUGGGGCUCAAACUCAUGAACCAUGAGAUCAUGACCUGAGCUGAAGUCAGAUGCUCAACCAACUGAGUCACCCAGGUGCCCUGAUAACUGUACUUUUAAUAACCUUCACCUAUCUCACCCAUCCUCUUCUUCCCUCUGGUAACCAGAGUUUGCUCUCUGUAGUUAAGAGUCUGUUUUUGGUUUGUCUCUUUUUUCUUUAUUUGUUUUGUUUCUAAGUUCAACAUAUGGGUGAAAUCAUAUGGUAUUUGUCUUUGUCUGGUUGGCUUACUUACCUUAGCAUUGUACUCUUCUAGAGCCAUCCAUGUUGUUACAAAUGGUAAGAUUUUAUCCUUUUUUUUUUUUGGCUGAAUAAUAUUCCAUUGUAUAUGUACAUAUACCCCUCUUUAUCCAUUCAUCUAUCAGUGGACACUUGAACUGUGGGCGCCCCCCAUUCAGCACUUUAAAUAUAUUAUGCCCACUUACUUCUGACCUGCUAAGUUUCUGUUGAAUAAUCUGCUGAUAGACUUCUGGCAUUUCCAUUGUAUGUGUUUUCUUUCCUCUUGCUGCUUUUAAGAUUCUUUCUUUAUCACUGCUUUGUGACAUUUCAAUUACUAUGUGUCUUCUGUGGACCUCCUUGGUUGAUUUUGUUGGGAGAGCUCUGUGCCUACUGGAUCUACAUUUGUUUCCUACCGCAAAUUUGCAAAGUUUUUAGUCCUUAUUUCUUCAAAUAAAUUUUCUUCUCCCUUU